GCGGCGUGCCUAAUACAUGCAAGUCGAACGAAGCUUUCUUUCACCGAAUGCUUGCAUUCACCGAAAGAAGCUUAGUGGCGAACGGGUGAGUAACACGUAGGUAACCUGCCCGAAAGAGGGGGAUAACACUUGGAAACAGGUGCUAAUACCGCAUAACCAUGAACACCGCAUGAUGUUCAUGUAAAAGACGGCUUUUGCUGUCACUUUUGGAUGGGCCUGCGGCGUAUUAACUUGUUGGUGGGGUAACGGCCUACCAAGGUGAUGAUACGUAGCCGAACUGAGAGGUUGAUCGGCCACAUUGGGACUGAGACACGGCCCAAACUCCUACGGGAGGCAGCAGUAGGGAAUCUUCCACAAUGGACGAAAGUCUGAUGGAGCAACGCCGCGUGAAUGAAGAAGGCCUUCGGGUCGUAAAAUUCUGUUGUCAGAGAAGAACGUGCGUGAGAGUAACUGUUCACGUAUUGACGGUAUCUGACCAGAAAGCCACGGCUAACUACGUGCCAGCAGCCGCGGUAAUACGUAGGUGGCAAGCGUUGUCCGGAUUUAUUGGGCGUAAAGGGAACGCAGGCGGUCUUUUAAGUCUGAUGUGAAAGCCUUCGGCUUAACCGAAGUAGUGCAUUGGAAACUGGAAGACUUGAGUGCAGAAGAGGAGAGUGGAACUCCAUGUGUAGCGGUGAAAUGCGUAGAUAUAUGGAAGAACACCAGUGGCGAAAGCGGCUCUCUGGUCUGUAACUGACGCUGAGGUUCGAAAGCGCGGGUAGCAAACAGGAUUAGAUACCCUGGUAGUCCACGCCGUAAACGAUGAGUGCUAAGUGUUGGAGGGUUUCCACCCUUCAGUGCUGCAGCUAACGCAUUAAGCACUCCGCCUGGGGAGUACGG
rnacentral:rRNA from 1 species